GAUGAACGCUGGCGGCGUGCCUAAUACAUGCAAGUCGAGCGAACAGACGAGGAGCUUGCUCCUCUGACGUUAGCGGCGGACGGGUGAGUAACACGUGGAUAACCUACCUAUAAGACUGGGAUAACUUCGGGAAACCGGAGCUAAUACCGGAUAAUAUAUUGAACCGCAUGGUUCAAUAGUGAAAGACGGUUUUGCUGUCACUUAUAGAUGGAUCCGCGCCGCAUUAGCUAGUUGGUAAGGUAACGGCUUACCAAGGCAACGAUGCGUAGCCGACCUGAGAGGGUGAUCGGCCACACUGGAACUGAGACACGGUCAAGACUCCUACGGGAGGCAGCAGUAGGGAAUCUUCCGCAAUGGGCGAAAGCCUGACGGAGCAACGCCGCGUGAGUGAUGAAGGUCUUCGGAUCGUAAAACUCUGUUAUUAGGGAAGAACAAAUGUGUAAGUAACUAUACACGUCUUGACGGUACCUAAUCAGAAAGCCACGGCUAACUACGUG
rnacentral:rRNA from 1 species